GGAAGGAUCAUUAACACGUAUCCGUUAAACCCCCCCCGUGAAUAUUAAGCGUGCUCUUGCUGCCCGGUCAAUGGCCAGCAAUCCCUGGUAAAUCAUGUCGAACAGCAUUGAUUCAGGGACUUCUGCCGACUGAGAAGUUACAGCGGCAAUAGAGCGCUAAGUGGUUUGGUUUCCCCUCAAAUUCACUUCAAUGAAUGAAAGUGUCAUUGAAGUGUGAUGGGGAGAACGCUUAACGAACACUGUAGGCCAACACUGGCCGGUGUCCAGACCGCCGGGCGCAAGCCCCCUUAUCACCACAUGUCAGCGUAGGCCCUUCUGUCGUGGUUGGGCAUUAAAACGAACAACUGUUAACAACGGAUAUCUUGGUUCUCGUAGCAGCGAAAUGCGAUACGUAAUGCGAAUUGCAGAAUUCAGUGAAUCAUCGAAUCUUUGAACACAAAUUGCGCUCUCGGGUUACCCCCAAGAGCACACCUCUCUGAGUGUCGGUUUAACCAAAUGUCACCAAUUUAUUGGUGUACGACAGAUUGAGGGUAAGGGGUCUCGGCUCCUUUCCCUUUAAAACUCAGCCGCACGACUGUGUGUGUUCGUGGCAAGUUGCUUUUACUUAAUUGUGAAUCCAAUCCACAAACCCUAUGUCAUGUAGCCAAAGAAACAAAUGAACAGAGUUGUUGGCUUGAGAAGCUUGCUUCGAGAGUUGGUGACUUUGGGCAUCUAUGAAUUAGACCUCAGAUGAAGUGGGAAGACCCCCUGAAUUUAAGCAUAUUAUUAAGGGGAGGAAAAGAAACUAACAAGGAUUCCCCUAGCAACGGCGAGUGAAGCGGGAAGAGCUCAAAUUUAAAAUCCACUGGUCUAACAGCCUGUGGAGUUGUAAUCUAGAGAGGCUCUCUCAGUGCCAGCCUGGUUAUAAGUCCCUUGAAACGGGGCAUCAAAGAGGGUGAGAAUCCCGUAUUCGAGCCGGAGCUAAGUACGUACGAGGAGCUUUCCAAGAGUCGCGUUGCUUGGGGGUGCAGCGCUAAAUGGGUGGUAAAGUUCAUCUAAAGCUAAAUACUGGCGAGAGACCGAUAGCGAACAAGUACCGUGAGGGAAAGAUGAAAAGAACUUUGAAAAGGGAGUUAAAAAGUACUUGAAAUUGUUAACAGGGAAGGGGAGUCAACCAGUCAUUUCUAAGCUUCAUUCGCUUUGCCUUCGGGAGGGGUUACUUGAGGCUAAGAAGGGUCAGCACCACUUAGUGUUCUCGCAGAAACUGUGUGAGUUGGUGCAUUUCUUCGGAUUUGUUUAACUUGCGCAAUCUACGUUGUCGCUGGGUGAGGAGUGAUAACCCCAUGCUUUCGGGCGUCGGUACUCUGAGGUUUGUUUGCCCUAGCGCGUGAGAGAACAAAGUUCUGUCUGUGCGAAAGGUGAAUACUGCUUUGGAUGUGCUGGUGGGUUCGCGGUGCAGACGAAAUGGUUGUCUUUCACCCGUCUUGAAACACGGACCAAGGAGUCUAACAUAUAUGCGAGUAUUUGGGUGACAAACCCUGAUGCGUAAUGAAAGUAAAGAGCCGCAAGGCUUGAGGUAGGCACUAUCGACCGAUCGUUCGCUGCGGAAGAUUUGAGUAAUAGCAUAUCUGUUGGGACCCGAAAGAUGGUGAUCUAUGCCUGAACAGGGUGAAGCCAGGGGAAACUCUGGUGGAAGCUCGUAGCGAUACUGACGUGCAAAUCGUUCGUCUGAUUUGGGUAUAGGGGCGAAAGGCUAAUCGAACCAUCUAGUAGCUGGUUCCCUC
rnacentral:misc_RNA from 1 species